GAACCGUGCGAACGUUGUUCGGAAUCACUGGGCUUAAAGGGCGCGUAGGCGGCUUGCCAAGUCAGGGGGUGAAAUCUUUCGGCUCAACCGGAAAAGUGCCUUUGAUACUGGCAGGCUUGAGGGAGGUAGGGGCAUGUGGAACUGGUGGUGGAGCGGUGAAAUGCGUUGAUAUCACUAGGAACGCCGGUGGCGAAAGCGACGUGCUGGCCCUCUUCUGACGCUGAGGCGCGAAAGCCAGGGUAGCGAACGGGAUUAGAUACCCCGGUAGUCCUGGCCCUAAACGAUGGGUACUAGGUAGUGGACUUAACAUGGGUUCACUGCCGAAGCAAAAGUGUUAAGUACCCCGCCUGGGGAGUAUGGUCGCAAAGGCUG
rnacentral:rRNA from 1 species